rnacentral:lncRNA from 1 species
ACGGACCCGUAGUGAAAGAAUCUCAGGUCUUCAACAAAGCCAAACUGUUGCUAGAAUACUAACCCAUUGCACUAGUUGAGUUUCCCAAGGCUCAAGGAUUUUAGUGUUUAUGCUUCUCUUGGUGCCUUCUCAAGUGGCCCAUCCCAUAUCUAAAUUGGUUGGAUAAGUGCUUCCAUGUGUCGCGCGCAGCCUUCUUCUUACCCUUAGGGAGCACCUCGAUUUUAAAUGCGUUAGAAUUCUUACCUUUAGGGAGGACCUCGAUUUUAAAUGUCUUCCGAACAGUGGACGUUUAUCGCCAUGACGUCUGCAAGACAUCAUUCAGGGUAUAUUGCUC